UACGUAGGGUGCGAGCGUUGUCCGGAAUUAUUGGGCGUAAAGGGCUCGUAGGCGGUCUGUCGCGUCGGGAGUGAAAACCAGGUGCUUAACACCUGGCUUGCUUUCGAUACGGGCAGACUAGAGGUAUUCAGGGGAGAACGGAAUUCCUGGUGUAGCGGUGAAAUGCGCAGGUAUCAGGAGGAACACCGGUGGCGAAGGCGGGUCUCUGGGCCGAUACUGACGCUGAGGAGCGAAAGCAUGGGUAGCGAACAGG
rnacentral:rRNA from 1 species